CUCCCAGGGCAAUCUAUUGGGAGUGUGUCGGGGGCUGAGACAAUGUCUAGGGAUCAAUGUUUUCACUGCAUGUAGGAGACGCAAGGGACUUCCCCUGCUAGACUUUGAUUGUGAAGUUCCAAGGAGAAGAUUUCAAUGAGCCCCCUGCACAGAACACUCUAAAGGGAGAAUGACAAAAGGGGUGACUUCCUCGUACUUCACGUCUCUGUGAUUAGAAAGAUGGUGACAAGACUUUGCCUGCUGGUAGCUGCUGCCUGCUUUGCUGCAGAACUGGUACAAGGGG